rnacentral:rRNA from 1 species
AUUGAACGCUGGCGGCAGGCCUAACACAUGCAAGUCGAGCGAGCGGCGGACGGGUGAGUAAUGUAUGGGGACUGCCCGAUAGAGGGGGCUAACUACUGGAAACGGUAUCUAAUACCGCAUACUAUCGGGUGACCCAUCAUGGAUUAGCUAGUAGGUGGGGUAAUGGCUCACCUAGGCGACGAUCCCUCGCUGGUCUGAGAGGAUGAUCAGCCACACUGGAACUGAGACACGGCCCAGACUCCUACGGAGGCAGCAGUGGGGAAUAUUGGACAAUGGGCGCAAGCCUGAUGCAGCCAUGCCGCGUGUAUGAAGAAGGCCCUAGGGUUGUAAAGUACUUUCAGUCGGGAGGCGUUACCGACAGAAGAAGCACCGGCUAACUCCGUGCCAGCAGCCGCGGUAAUUC